AGGGUUCGGGAAGCGCUCACAUUCAAUCGGUUCAGGUGAUAGUAUCUGACAUUUCUUAAUACAAUAGAUCGUGGUCUUGUCGAAAAGUCACUAGUCCUCUCUGUGAAUACCGAAUUCUGUGGACAGCUUGCUUAAAUGAGGUUCCUGUUGCUAUUAGUGAUUGUGGAACUGCUGGUACAUCAGUUCCAAGACACAUCAGCAGAAGAAUACAUACACAUCUGUAAUGGGCAUGAGAUGAAAAAAGCUAUGAGCCGCUUUUGUGCCUUUACGAAACGAAGUGUCCAUUCCUAUCUUUUCCGUUAUGCAAGAAAAGCUGGUGAUUAUACGUCAUUGAAAAAUAUUAUCGAGGCCUGCUGUACGAGAGGUUGCCCAGUCCAUAUAAUGUUGAGUCUAUGUUAAUAUAUAUGCUACCGAGUGUGAUUUUUCGAAGCGUCUAACCACCGCUGGGAUUUUGCAUGAAAAUACUACGAGAAGAUGUCUUUUCUGUAUCACUUUACUCGUUAAAUAUUAUGUAUAUAUUCUAUUAUUUUUGUUAUAUUUACAAUGGUUUGUGUGUUGUUCAGUAAUGUUUAUACGUUUAUUAUUUGUCUUACAGUGUUAUAUCUCAUUGUCUUUCAUAUUUCAAUUAAUUUGAUGUGUAUACAUAUAUAUAUUUUAGAGCACGUUUGUUACAAAUAUAUUAUGCUAUACGAACUUCAAUAUCUAGAACACAGAUAGUUAUUUUAAGUUUUUUCCCUUCUUCUGGGUAUUCUUACAAUGCAUUGUUUUGAAAAAAGUGAAAAGUGUGACUCGUAUGGCACGAUUUAGAAAAGAAUCAGGAGUUCUGUGAGUAGUAACUGAGUUUGUAUCAAAUCCAGGGGAAACUCUUCAAUAAAUAUGUACACGUUCGUUUCAGUGAUUAUGAUAUAUAUCACAAUGUUCUUUUAGUGGUUUAUGGCCUUUUAUCUUAGGAGAAUGAUAGCUUGGAUUUUUUAAAUAAACGAUUUGAUAAAAACGAGAAAGCACGGUCGCAUGUUUUCUCGAUAUUGAGAAAGCAUUCGACACUGUAUGGCACAAUGGUUUUAGAUUCCUCAUGCCAGUAUUAUUCGCUGAUUAUCAAACUUUUUGGAAAACAGAUAAUGUAGAAUCCAUGUUGAGGGAACUUUCUCGGAGUCUUUCACUCCUGAGGCAUGUGUUCCCCAGGGAGGAGUAGUUAGCCCUAUUCUAUUUAUUAUGUAUGUUAACAGUAUGCUUCUAAAAGAUCCAAAUCACAGGAACUCGUCACAAUUUGCAGACGAUGUGGCAGUUUGGAAAAGUGUUCCCACUCCAUCUAUAGCAGCCACAAAUCUACAACCUCAGUUAAAUAGGAUAAUCGAAUACCAAAAAUAUUGCAUUGAAAUUGAUGUCCUAAUUAGUAGUUUUUGCAAAAUUAACAAAACACAAAAAAGACCCACCAGAACUCUAUAUGAACGGAACACUUUUUCAGACUACGACAUCAGCAAAAUUCUUAGGACUAACGUAUGAUUCUAAAUUAACGUGGAUCAAACAUUUAAACAAUAUAUAAACCAAAGUUUGGCAAUGCACGAACUAUGCCAGAGUUUAACGGGUAAAAACAGAGGAGCAACAGCUGUUAACAUAAUCAAUAUUUACAAAACAUAUAUAUACGUCCAGUUACUGAAUAUGCAUCACCUGUAUAGAUAAACGUAGCACCUAAGCCAUAUUAAAACUAAAUUACAAACAAUACAGAAUUCAAUACUUACAACAGCAUACAAAGUACCAAGAUCAACGUCCUCAAAAUUAAUGCACAAUUAUGAAAACAUAGGAACUAUAACCGAUAGACUCCUACAUAGUUCGCUAAAUUAUUUCGCGAAAAAUUGGUACAAGAAUGACUUACCAUGCGAACUUGAUCGUUACUGCAUACUUGAUGAAGAUAGCCCUAAGUACCUCUCUCAUAUUAAUAUAUACAUAAGAAAUAAAAAUAAAUUGAGGCCACCUGAUGCUAGAUUACUAAAUUAUCAUUAGUUGUAACUUAACUGUGACAGUAUUAAAAAGGGGUAUAUAUAUAUAUGUCAAUGCUCUCGUAGAAAUUUAAAAUUAACCGAAAAAUAUGGAAAAUGCAUUUUGAACUGUCCGCUAAGUGUAGAACUUUACAUACACGAAUGAAGAGAAAGUAUAUUUAACACAUCAAUAUUAAUAUAAUUAUCUACGUGAAUCCCCCUACCCUGAUUCCCUUGUAAUAAUUAAACUAAUAUUAUACAGGAAUCAUUCAUCACGUGCUUGGAGGAAGAGGUCAAACGAAGCUGACCUUACCAGGUCUAUAUGAUUUAAAGUCGGAUGCCGACAAGAGAGGCAGUUAUUUCAAAAGUAGAAAAAAAAA